rnacentral:misc_RNA from 1 species
GAUGAAGAACGUAGCGAAAUGCGAUAAGUAAUGUGAAUUGCAGAAUUCAGUGAAUCAUCGAAUCUUUGAACGCACCUUGCGCCCUUUGGCCAUUCCGAAGGGCAUGCCUGUUUGAGUAUCAUGAACACCUCAACUCUUCACGGUUUUCCAUGAUGAGCUUGGACUUUGGGGGUCUUGCUGGCCUGUGGGUCGGCUCCUCUCAAAUGAAUCAGCUUGCCGGUUUUUGGUGGGCAUCACAGGUGUGAUAACUAUCUACGCUUGUGGUUUUCCACCAGGGUAACCUUCAGCAGUGGAGGUUCACUGGAGCUUACAAAUGUCUCUCCUCUGUGAGGACAGCCCUUUGAAUGUUUGAUCUCAAAUCAGGUAGGACUACCCGCUGAACUUAAGCAUAUCAAUAAGCGGAGGA